AUUUUUUUUCAAUUUUCCAUAUUCUUGGAUGUAGUUAUCAUGCCUUACUUUUCAUGAUAGUUUCCUUUGUUUUAGAACCAAAUGAUACCUUUGACAAAUUAAAAUCCUCCCUUGUUAGGAAUUUUAAUACAGUAUCUUUCUCAAUUUGGAUAAAAAUUUUUGUUCAAUGUUUUUGGCAUAGCCUUUUUUAAGUUUCCCUUCUAUCAUCCUUUUCUAUGGAGAAAUUUGGUUCCAAACAAGUUCAUAUCGAC
rnacentral:lncRNA from 1 species